rnacentral:rRNA from 1 species
AUUGAACGCUGGCGGCAUGCUUUACACAUGCAAGUCGAACGGUAACAGGCCGCAAGGUGCUGACGAGUGGCGAACGGGUGAGUAAUGCAUCGGAACGUGCCCAGUCGUGGGGGAUAACGCAGCGAAAGCUGCGCUAAUACCGCAUACGAUCUAUGGAUGAAAGCGGGGGACCGUAAGGCCUCGCCCGAUUGGAGCGGCCGAUGUCAGAUUAGGUAGUUGGGGGGGUAAAGGCUCACCAAGCCAACGAUCUGUAGCUGGUCUGAGAGGACGACCAGCCACACUGGGACUGAGACACGGCCCAGACUCCUACGGGAGGCAGCAGUGGGGAAUUUUGGACAAUGGGCGCAAGCCUGAUCCAGCAAUGCCGCGUGCAGGAAGAAGGCCUUCGGGUUGUAAACUGCUUUUGUACGGAACGAAAAGGCUCUGGUUAAUACCUGGGGCUCAUGACGGUACCGUAAGAAUAAGCACCGGCUAACUACGUGCCAGCCGCCGCCGUAAUAC